UACAGAGGGGGCAAGCGUUAUUCGGAAUUAUUGGGCGUAAAGGGCGCGUAGGCGGCUUGGCAAGUGGAAGGUGAAAUCCCUCGGCUUAACCGAGGAACUGCCCUCCAAACUGCUUUGCUUGAGGCCGGGAGAGGCGAGUGGAAUUCCCAGUGUAGCGGUGAAAUGCGUAGAUAUUGGGAGGAACACCAGUGGCGAAGGCGGCUCGCUGGACCGGCAUUGACGCUGAGGCGCGAAAGCUAGGGGAGCAAACGGG
rnacentral:rRNA from 1 species